rnacentral:rRNA from 1 species
GAUGAACGCUGGCGGCGUGCCUAAUACAUGCAAGUCGAGCGAACAGAUAAGGAGCUUGCUCCUUUGACGUUAGCGGCGGACGGGUGAGUAACACGUGGGUAACCUACCUAUAAGACUGGAAUAACUCCGGGAAACCGGGGCUAAUGCCGGAUAAUAUUUAGAACCGCAUGGUUCUAAAGUGAAAGAUGGUUUUGCUAUCACUUAUAGAUGGACCCGCGCCGUAUUAGCUAGUUGGUGGGGUAAUGGCUUACCAAGGCAACGAUACGUAGCCGACCUGAGAGGGUGAUCGGCCACACUGGAACUGAGACACGGUCCAGACUCCUACGGGAGGCAGCAGUAGGGAAUCUUCCGCAAUGGGCGAAAGCCUGACGGAGCAACGCCGCGUGAGUGAUGAAGGUCUUCGGAUCGUAAAACUCUGUUAUUAGGGAAGAACAGAUGUGUAAGUAACUGUGCACGUCUUGACGGUACCUAAUCAGAAAGCCACGGCUAACUACGUGCCAGCA